UUGUGAUGUCAUGGUCAUUGUUGACCUUCAUAUAACCUCUGCAAUUGCUUUGCAGUUUAUGCUGGGGUUAUAUAACGGUCUAAUAGAGACCUUUGACAUAAAAAA
rnacentral:pre_miRNA from 2 species